CAUAUGGUACUAGUCGGAACUGCUUAUCUCGCUCGGCUAGUGGCGAUAUGGUCUCUUAUGAGGU
rfam:Bibersteinia trehalosi TSDA-ARS-TSMARC-192, complete genome.